rnacentral:misc_RNA from 1 species
GCACUUGAAGCACGCAAGAAACCACCGGAAGAAUCAGGGCCAAAAAUAAUUGGAGAAGGGCUGGUGAUAGACGAAUGGAAAGAACGGAGGGAAAGAUACCUGGCGAAACAGCAAGUUGAAGGGGUAGACUCUGUAUAGGUUUGGUUUCAGUUUUUUCCGGCAAUGCUUGUGUAAUUUGAAAGGGAUUUCCAAUGAACUCUCGAGGAUCAAAUUCUACCCUUAAAAAAAGUCGUGUAAUCUUUUUCGUAUAUUAUCCAAAAUAUUGUUUAGGUGAAGAUGAACUUAUUUUAUUUCCAUUGAACGAAAA